GACGAACGCUGGCGGCGCGCCUAACACAUGCAAGUCGAACGAGCGAGAGAGAGCUUGCUUUCUCGAGCGAGUGGCGAACGGGUGAGUAACGCGUGAGGAACCUGCCUCAAAGAGGGGGACAACAGUUGGAAACGACUGCUAAUACCGCAUAAGCCCACGGUGCCGCAUGGCACAGAGGGAAAAGGAGCAAUCCGCUUUGAGAUGGCCUCGCGUCCGAUUAGCUAGUUGGUGAGGUAAUGGCCCACCAAGGCGACGAUCGGUAGCCGGACUGAGAGGUUGAACGGCCACAUUGGGACUGAGACACGGCCCAGACUCCUACGGGAGGCAGCAGUGGGGAAUAUUGCACAAUGGGGGAAACCCUGAUGCAGCGACGCCGCGUGGAGGAAGAAGGUCUUCGGAUUGUAAACUCCUGUUGUUGGGGAAGAUAAUGACGGUACCCAACAAGGAAGUGACGGCUAACUACGU
rnacentral:rRNA from 1 species